UACAGCCAUAUCACGUUGAAACAUCGCUUCCCGUACGAUCACCGAAGUUAAGCAACGUCGAGCCUUGUCAGUAAUUAGAUAUGUUACCGCUUGGGAAUACCAGGUACUGUAA